GACGGAGGGUGCAAGCGUUGUUCGGAAUUACUGGGCGUAAAGGGCGUGUAGGCGGUUUAAUAAGUUAGGUGUGAAAUCUUCAGGCUCAACCUGAAAAGUGCACUUAAAACUGUUAGACUAGAGAGUGGUAGGGGGAAGCGGAAUUCCUAGUGUAGAGGUGAAAUUCGUAGAUAUUAGGAAGAACACCGGCGGCGAAGGCGGCUUUCUGGACCAUUUCUGACGCUGAGACGCGAAAGCGUGGGGAGCAAACAGG
rnacentral:rRNA from 1 species